UUAAUGUCAGUGACAUAAUAAUAAUAAUAAUAAUAAUAAUAAUAAUAAUAAUAAUAAUAAUAAUAAAAACUUCAUUUGUCUGUAGGGUGUACUCAAUGGGAAGCCUUCUAAGUGGUUUCCCCAAAGGCCGUCUUCCAAGGUGCCUGUCUAUCUUGACAGUGAGGAACAGCAAAACACCCUAUUUGCCCAUCUGAAGUCAGUGCUGCAGAGAAUGUCUAUACAGCUGAGCUUCACAGAUGAAGUGGAGUUCAUCCUCAGUGUUCUAUUUCCAGAGGCCAUCACAUAUGGCCUGGCUGCGCUGAGGAAUUUAUCCCUGAAACAGGCUGAGCAGGUCUUCAUCUGCGGUCCAGUUUAUCAUCACAGUGAAGUAGAGGACUUCAAUCAAAAAAUAAACAAACAACUGAAGAAAGAAGGAAGGCCAUUUAGUUGAAGUCGUUGCGAUCCAAGUCCCUGGAUAAAAAAAAACAACGUUAAUGUGUGAAUUUUAAUAUUUGAAUUUUGUUAUUAUUUCAAAUACAUUUUAUAACCCCAA